rnacentral:rRNA from 1 species
AGAGCGAACGCUGGCGGCAGGCUUAACACAUGCAAGUCGAGCGGGCGUAGCAAUACGUCAGCGGCAGACGGGUGAGUAACGCGUGGGAACGUACCUUUUGGUUCGGAACAACCCAGGGAAACUUGGGCUAAUACCGGAUAAGCCCUUACGGGGAAAGAUUUAUCGCCGAAAGAUCGGCCCGCGUCUGAUUAGCUAGUUGGUGAGGUAAUGGCUCACCAAGGCGACGAUCAGUAGCUGGUCUGAGAGGAUGAUCAGCCACAUUGGGACUGAGACACGGCCCAAACUCCUACGGGAGGCAGCAGUGGGGAAUAUGGACAAUGGGCGCAAGCCGUGAUCCAGCCAUGCCGCGUGAGUGAUGAAGGCCCUAGGGUUGUAAAGCUCUUUUGUGCGGGAAGAUAAUGACGGUACCGCAAGAAUAAGCCCCGGCUAACUUCGUGCCAGCAGCCGC